rnacentral:rRNA from 1 species
GUGGGGAAUUUUGGACAAUGGGCGCAAGCCUGAUCCAGCAAUGCCGCGUGUGUGAAGAAGGCCUUCGGGUUGUAAAGCACUUUUGGCAGGAAAGAAAUAGUGCGUGCUAAUACCAUGCGCGAAUGACGGUACCUGCAGAAUAAGCACCGGCUAACUACGUGCCAGCAGCCGCGGUAAGACGUAGGGUGCAAGCGUUAAUCGGAAUUACUGGGCGUAAAGCGUGCGCAGGCGGUUUUGUAAGACAGGUGUGAAAUCCCCGGGCUCAACCUGGGAACUGCACUUGUGACUGCAAGGCUAGAGUGUGUCAGAGGGAGGUGGAAUUCCGCGUGUAGCAGUGAAAUGCGUAGAGAUGCGGAGGAACACCGAUGGCGAAGGCAGCCUCCUGGGAUAACACUGACGCUCAGGCACGAAAGCGUGGGGAGCAAACAGGAUUAGAUACCCAAGUAGUCC